rnacentral:rRNA from 1 species
GACGAACGCUGGCGGCGUGCUUAACACAUGCAAGUCGAACGGAAAGGCCCUGCUUUUGUGGGGUGCUCGAGUGGCGAACGGGUGAGUAACACGUGAGUAACCUGCCCUUGACUUUGGGAUAACUUCAGGAAACUGGGGCUAAUACCGGAUAGGAGCUCCUGCUGCAUGGUGGGGGUUGGAAAGUUUCGGCGGUUGGGGAUGGACUCGCGGCUUAUCAGCUUGUUGGUGGGGUAGUGGCUUACCAAGGCUUUGACGGGUAGCCGGCCUGAGAGGGUGACCGGCCACAUUGGGACUGAGAUACGGAGCAGACUCCUACGGGAGGCAGCAGUGGGGAAUAUUGCACAAUGGGCGGAAGCCUGAUGCAGCGACGCCGCGUGCGGGAUGACGGCCUUCGGGUUGUAAACCGCUUUCGCCUGUGACGAAGCGUGAGUGACGGUAAUGGGUAAAGAAGCACCGGCUAACUACGUG